UACGUAGGGUGCAAGCGUUAUCCGGAAUUAUUGGGCGUAAAGAGCUCGUAGGCGGUUUGUCGCGUCUGCUGUGAAAACUGGAGGCUCAACCUCCAGCCUGCAGUGGGUACGGGCAAACUAGAGUGCGGUAGGGGAGAUUGGAAUUCCUGGUGUAGCGGUGGAAUGCGCAGAGAUCCGGAAGAACACCGGUGGCGAAGGCGGCCUGCUGGGCAGGUAGCUGGACGCUGAGGCGCGAAAGCCAGGGGAGC
rnacentral:rRNA from 1 species